CCUCCCCUCGCUUUAGCAAACCAGCAUGCAUCUUUUGAGAAACCUAACCCUUGCUGAAGGACUGCAGCCUUGUGAAGAAAGUGACUAAUAGGAGGAUGAGAACCUGAAUAUGUCUGACUGGUUUGCUGGGAGUUUAAAAACGCUUUGGAAUUUGCUACCCGGGAAGUUUGGCCCGCACCCUCGGAAACGUCCGCAGCGCGCGGUGCACCUGGAGGCUCCAGAGUUGCUAACUCUUCCCUGCCCACCUCUUGCUGGAAAGCAGCUGGAGAGAGGAAGAUCGGCGAGGCUCGCUUUGGGAUGCAGGCAGCGCUGCUGGCCUCGCCCGCCGGCCUAGACACCUGGCUGGGGGCCCGCGGCGCCGGCGAGCCCCUCUCCCCGGACCUGCAGGUGAGCGGACAAUGCCCCUCGCUCCUCGCAAGACCUCAAAUUCCUCUCCUUCCCCGAAAGCGCUAACUUCAGGGCUCCGGGGUGGCAAGGGGCGCGCAGACCGGGAAAGGGCCGGCCCCGGGGGCGCAGGGAUUCCCAGGGCAGCGGAGGGCGGCAGCGCGGGCGGCAGAGCCCGCGCAGUCUCCGCCUGGCCCCUCCCGGCUGCAGAACCGCGGGACGCGGGGAGCCGCGAGCGGGCGGAGGUCGGGGCCGGCGGGGCCAGGGGGCUCCGGGGCCGGACGGGCGAGCGCACGGCUCUGCCCCAGAGCCCGGAGCGGAGGCGCGGGCGAGGCGGGGUGCCGCCCGCAGACGAGCACGGGCCCGCGCGGCACCUCCCUCCCCAUCCCUCUGUCCCUCCC